AAGAGUCUUACAGAUUUUCCUGCCCAGACUUUGAAUCAUGAUCCUCACAUCUUAGCCUUCUGAGCCAAGAUUACAGACAUGAGCCACAGAUGAUUGGUCUUUGUGUUAUUCUUUACCUGAAAUUACUUCUUUUAAAUGGAAGAUUUUUCUUUUUUGAAACUAUUUUCUUAGUUAUGAAAUGCAGAUGAGCCCACAUCACCCAGAAAUAACAAUGAUUGACAUUUUGGAGUAUAUCCUUCUGCUUGAUUUUUUUUCAAUCUAUGUAUUUUUGCCAUAUGUGGGGUAUGAUCUUUUUUUUUUUUUUAAUUUGAGUUUCAUUUAAGGUCCCCCAGUUCUCUUGACUGUCUUGGACAUACCUACCUUUUUCUUUACCCACACUGAGAAUAGCCCACUAUCUCUCACAUCAUCUUGCUGUUGCUGGAUACUCACUUUAUAAUAAACAACGCUGCACACUUUUCCCAUGUUGUCAGUCAAACAGAUGCGUGCUCUGCGGACUGCUUGCUGAGGGAAUGGCUUCAGGAGUGGCAGGCGAUGUCCUUGCAGCCCUCUAGCCCUUGGAUACUUGCUGUCUUGAUGGCUGCAGCCUGGGCCUGCGCAGGAUAACACUCAGUGCUGUGUGGGGAGCAUUUGAAUUCGGGGGUCAUAGUCCUCUUUGGGGAAAGGAUACACCAAAUUCUCUUUUCCUGUUCCUUUUUCUUACCAAGCCCCUGAGGGAACCUUUGGAUUUUCACAGAAAAAAAAAAAAUUAGAAAGGCUUUCCUCUCACUGUGUUUCUCAUAUCCGCUUCAUUCUUCCUAUUCCCCAUUUUACCCACAAAACUCCUGGGAGAAUAGUUCGCUUUUAACUAGAGGCUUGAUCUGUAUUUUUCCCACCUUGGAAUCAAGAAGAAAUAGAAUCUUUAAGAAGUAGGACUUUCCCUCCAGUUAAGCCACCCUUGGGAAGGGGCUUCUUGUCUUUGGAUUCCUCCUUUGGAGCCUGUGAUGAAGCGGGGGGAAACAAACACUGAGAUUUGGGGAUGAAAACUUAAUGUGGGAAUUGUCACUCAAGAGGGAGGCUUGACCACAGCAGUUUAGAAUUAAAAUUUUUUAACUUGCACGCCAAUUUUCAGAUAGGGCUUAAGCAACAUUCUAUUGCUGAGUUCCACAUCUGCUUAUUUCUUUUAAUUGCACAACUCACCAGUUGGGAAGUUCGGCUGUAGAGAAAUCCCAUGUGACACCGUGCACAGAGGAGCCGAGCCUUGGAAACAUGUGAGUCAUGUAAAGUCUGAUGUGACACAGCACACGAUUGUGACUACCAGGUGCUGCUGCUCCAUGAAACGUUUUGGUUUCAUUUUGCGAAAUGCUGUUUUACACUAUUGAAACCGUGAGGUGAGAAGGACCAUAACUAUCUUAAAGAAGCAUAUUACUUGCACCUAAAUGUGUCUGGGAUUUUUUUUUCUUAAAAUGUUCACUUAGUUCCCAAUUAAUCAAAAAAUGAAGGUUCCAGAAAGCCUUUCUUCUGAUAGGCUUGACAAUGUCUGGAGUUGCCUUUAGAGAACUUAUUUUAUAAACAUAUGCAUAUGCAUAAUAUAUUCUGCCCAAUACUCCCACUUUCAAAUCUGCACCCUACCACAGGUGCAUCCUGGGGAGUCACAGAAAGAAAAUCUUCACUCUGAAAAUUCUUUCCUUGAGCCCACUGUGUCCUCCACAUCAGAAAGAAAACUGUAGCCUGAACUGGGCCCCCCCCCCCCGGGAGUGGUGGGGUAGGAAGGACACCAACUCACUCCAGAAUAUAGCAGCAGUAAACAAAGGAAAAAGGCUCACAGUUAAUUCAGAAACAAAAUUGAGGCUUGCUGGGGCUUCCUGUUGUAGUGGUUUGCCUCCAUUUCUCCAAUACAAGGACUUUCUUCCCUUUUUGUUGGAAGCUCUGAUGGCAAGGUUGACCACUUACAAAGUUUUGUUGCCUCCUUACUUUCAUUGCUCAGUUGUUAUUUCUCCUCAUCUUUACUCCAUAAAAAAUGCUUCUGCAACUACUGCAUUUGGAAUUGACUCUGUGGAGUAGCAGCAUUUUCCUUGCCUAUGGCAAGACCACACCAAGUUCAAGGCAAGGAAGGUAGCCUGGUCCUACAGAGACCCUCUGGGUGACUCCUCUCUUUUGAGAUCCUGAUUGUCUUUUCUUUUUUUUUUUUUUUU